GACCAGCUGACGUGGUAAUUUCACAGGUA
rnacentral:piRNA from 1 species